GUUGGGCCCAAAACAGCUGAAACUUAGAAGGAGAAAAAAAAUAAAGAGAGGUAGUCUAUCAGAAAGAACACAGAACAACAAUACACUCUCUCUCCUCAUUCGCGACGACUAUUACCAGAUCGUCUCCCUACAUCUUCUCGGUCUUCCUAGUGCUCUCUUUUGGUGAUCGAAAUUCAUGGAAGGCCCUCGAUUUAUCAUUCUCAAAUUCUGGCUUUUGCCCUCUCGCGCUCUCUCUCUCAAUUUCUUUUGAAAUUAGAUACCCAUAUGGAGACUUCUCCCCAAAGUAUCUCGAUCCGUCGUAUCUUUAUUCAACCACUCUCUCACGCUAUUCUUCUGGUUUAGCAAGCGUUUCGACAGGCGAUUUGGUUUUGGGCAAUGGGCUAUGGUAAUACCUUUCCAGAUCUGGUUUUUCUUUUGGUGAGGGUGUGGAAAUUUAACUUUUUUUGAAUUGGUCAGAUCUGAUAAUCAAGAUCAGAGAACUUAGGUAUUUCAAUCGUGGUGUGGUUUAGCUAGUACUGGCACUAAUUGUCUGUUUCCAUCUAUCAUUCCCCUAUCCUCUGAAAUUGCUUUUUUUUUUUUCUUUCUUUUCUUAUGAAAGAAAAAAAAAAGAAUGUUUGUCCCCUUUGAAUCUGUAUCUGAAGCUAAACACAUACAAAUCUACAUGAAGGUAAAGUCAAUAUUUUUGUCUUAGUGUUGCUUCCUUUUCUGUACUAUAUGAGUUUUUUUUUCUUUGAACUUGGCAGUGUAUGUGUAUGGGGCUUUGAAUGGAGGUGCCCUUGAGGAAUCAAUUACAGCCUAGAAAAUUUGGUGGAGUUCACAGGUUUGAAAUUUUCAAACACUUGCCAUGAAUUUACGUGGAAGCAAACUGCUGGGAUUGAAACGCAACUCUUGAACAGAAUUCUCUCAAGGAAUGAAAGAUCCAAAUCUUGAUUGAAAUCUAAGGACACAAAAAAGAAGAAGGGUCAUUGAUCAGUGGUAGGGUUGUGAAUGGUUAUGGUGGUGGCCGAAGCACACCUUUAGAUAAACAAAAACCCACAGUUGUUCAUCAAAAGCCAGGACCCCAUCAAACCAUGUUUGAUCUACUUCCAAAUGAGAUUGUGGAACAUAGUUAUUCAUGUGCACUUGAGAGGUCGUUCUUAUAUCAUGGCCGUAUGUGUAGACUUCAAAUAGUACAUUGGUUCAUGCUAUGAGUAGCUUUACAAAAGUUUAAGAGGAAGGAAAUCUGAAAGGUGGAGCGAAGGUAAAAAGGAUUCAUGAAGAAGCAUGAGUUAUGGAAGUUCUGAAAAAGCUCAUUACAGAAACCAUGCCAUUCUUCCCUUACAGAUAAGUGGCUGUAAGUUAAGUUCAAAUGAUGAGAGGCCAAGUAUGUAUGUCUCUUGUCAUCUAGGAUUACAUAACAUUAGAACACUUAUAAGUAGGAAUUAAUUACUGGAUUGUUCUUAUAGUCCAAGUAUAUUGUAACGAGUAAAAGAUACAAUGACAUUUGUUUUGGGAUUGUAAAGAUUAUUUGUUUGUAAAUGUCUUCUUUUUGUUUCAAGGAAUUUUUUUUUUUUGUGUUCU
rnacentral:lncRNA from 1 species